CCGCAUAUAGGGUUGACUUUCCCUUGUGCACGUGAGCGUACAAACCAUCGUUUAGUUUUAGAAUGUUGACUCAUACUUCGCUUGGGAAUAUCAAACAUUUCGCAAGAUUGGUCUUCGUAUCAACGGUAGUUCAAUGCUAUCAGAAUUUAUGUCACUUUUGCUGAUGAGCUGGCCGUCUCUUUCAAGUGCAGAAAGAGCAGAUUUGUUGAAAAACAUAAUAAGGAUGCCUUAAUUGCAAAGUUUACGUGUAUUAGUAUUCCAAGGAGUUGGUUUGGUCAUGCGAACUCUAGAUUGAAUUGGGUGUUUAGUCUUGCUGGAGUUGCAUAACUUUGAGCUUUGAUAGCACAUUCCUGCAUUGACAGAAUUGCACUUGCUUCACGUAAUUUUGUCCAAACAUGUUGAAUAGCAUCUACAUUAUGACAUUCGGAUAUUUGAAGACUCAAACGGUGUAAGUGACUUUGAAAUUUCUGUUGAAUGCUCACUAUGUCUUUCCUACCGGUACCAAACUUGCUUACGACAACAUCCCAACCAACAUCUGGCAUAUCAUCUGAAUCAGAGACAUUCUCAGUGUUGUCAUUGGCUCCUGUCUUGCUUUGGUCUUGUGAUUGGGCUUCACUCUUAUU